UACGCAGGCGGGAUAUUAAGUCAGUGGUGAAAGCCUACAGCUCAACUGUAGAAUUGCCAUUGAAACUGAUAUUCUUGAGUAUGGUUGAGGUGGUUGGAAUAUAUCAUGUAGCGGUGAAAUGCUUAGAUAUGAUACAGAACACCAAUUGCGAAGGCAGAUCACUAAACCAUUACUGACGCUCAUGUACGAAAGCGUGGGGAGCGAACA
rnacentral:rRNA from 1 species